UACGGAAGGCAGCAGUGGGGAAUAUUGCACAAUGGGCGCAAGCCUGAUGCAGCCAUGCCGCGUGUAUGAAGAAGGCCUUCGGGUUGUAAAGUACUUUCAGCGGGGAGGAAGGCGAUGCGGUUAAUAACCGCGUCGAUUGACGUUACCCGCAGAAGAAGCACCGGCUAACUCCGUGCCAGCAGCCGCGGUAAUACGGAGGGUGCAAGCGUUAAUCGGAAUUACUGGGCGUAAAGCGCACGCAGGCGGUCUGUUAAGUCAGAUGUGAAAUCCCCGGGCUUAACCUGGGAACUGCAUUUUGAACUGGCAGGCUUGAGUCUUGUAGAGGGGGUGAAUUCCAGGUGUAGCGGUGAAAUGCGUAGAGAUCUGGAGGAAUACCGGUGGCGAAGGCGGCCCCUGGGACAAAGACUGACGCUCAGGGUGCGAAAGCGUGGGGAGCAAACAGGGAUUAGGAUACC
rnacentral:rRNA from 1 species